rnacentral:rRNA from 1 species
UACGGGGGGGGCAAGCGUUGUUCGGAAUUACUGGGCGUAAAGGGUUCGUAGGUGGCCUGCUAAGUCAGACGUGAAAUCCCUCAGCUUAACUGGGGAACUGCGUCUGAGACUGGUGGGCUUGAGUGCAGGAGAGGAACGCGGAAUUCCAGGUGUAGCGGUGAAAUGCGUAGAUAUCUGGAGGAAUACCGGUGGCGAAGGCGGCAUCCUGGACCGGCAUUGACGCUGAUGAGCGAAAGCUAGGGGAGCAAACGGG